ACUACUCAGCAAGUGAUAGCUUUGUGAAUCGUGUUGUUCUCUUCGCUAUUAGGACAUUGUAACGUCGUAAGCAUGGGUAAUAAAUUGUACUCAGGUAGAGGAUCUGCAUCGCAAAGGUAUUGGAAUUGCUCGCAGGUACCAGACAUUGGAAUCAGAGAGGACUUUUGGUCGCACUCACAGUUCGUUUGUUACCAUCAAAGGCUCAGUCAUUCGUAUUUUUUUAAAUAGCAGUGGGCUGACAGCAUCACCCGGAAUGAAAUCUACAAGUAUAGACUAUUCCUAAAGAUCUGGAAAGAUCACUUCAAUCUUAGUCUGUUGCUUUAUUCAUAAUAUACAUUGUAAACUGCAUAACAAUAAGAUUUAAACACACGAUUGAUAUUGUGAAAAUGAUAAACAUGUGAAUGUUGGUAUAAAAUAAUUACCUUUCUCAUUUAACAAACACCACAAAAUUCACACACCAUCAAGACAGCUAUAUUAGUAGAAAGUCUGUCAGAAUUUCUAGUGACAAUAUAUAAGGCAGUGGCCAAGCCACAAAAAUCAUUUGUUUAAAUCAAC